rnacentral:lncRNA from 1 species
GCUGACUUGAGUCUAACUAGAGCAUUUGCUGGAUUAAUACCAUGCUCAAAUUUGGAACAUUCCAAACUCAUAAGAUCUACUUGACAAAAGCAUCUCAUUACUUCAGACGCUGGUGUAAUUGAUUUGUCAUUACCACACGCUAUUCAUAGUCUGGCAGUAGUGGAGAAGAGCUACCCUUGCACACUGUUUGAAAUAAAACAAGGAUGACCCGGAUAAACAGAAUGACACUGCCAGAACUAAAUGCUACUUCAACAUCUGGGUUCACUGAUCACAAGGGAGAACAGCAAAUGAAGGUGGACCCACCCUUAGCCAUAACCACACCUGGAAAAUACCUUCCAGGGCACACCCUGCGGUGGAGGGAUGAUGAUCUUCAAGUGUACCGUUAUAGUUAGCAACCAUCGGGAUCGGGAGUAUAUGCUUAUGAACUACGGUGAACAUUCAUAUUGAAGUGGAGAAGAUAUUAAGGAGUUGAAAGUUGAAGUUUACUUCCUCUUGUCUGUUGGGCCCUUUUUGUUCAUUAUUUAAGGGAGUCAAAGACCAUUAGAGAAAGCUAAUAGCCUUUAGAACCCUCAGAUUAUACUGAUAUUACUGAUGGGAGAGUUAAGCCAAAUUGCAUUCUCAAAAUGGUUCUGGGAACAUAUCACUUCCAGUAAUGGUGCUAUCAACCAGGCCUAAAAGCAAAGAGGGCAGGGAUGCACUUAAAGGUAAUUAUCCAUCAACAUUGGAAAAUAUGGUUACUAGAUUAAGAGAGUUGAGUAUAUACAAUAUAUCUUGAUUGCAGCAAAGCAGUUGAUACAGCAUUAUUCAAUUUACCGGCUAGAUUAAUUUAAAUUGGUUUAGGCAGAAGUAUAGUCAAAUGAACUACCAGCUAUCCAGAGGGCCAUAAAUAAUAGAUAACAAUAAACACAUUUGUUUUACAUGCUCCUAAUUUAAU